rnacentral:tRNA from 2 species
GCACCCGUAGCUCAGCUGGAUAGAGUGUCGGCCUCCGAAGCCGAAGGUCGCGCGUUCAAAUCGCGCCGGGUGCGCCA